rnacentral:rRNA from 1 species
CCUACGGGGGGCUGCAGUGAGGAAUCUUGCGCAAUGGGCGAAAGCCUGACGCAGCGACGCCGCGUGAGCGAUGAAGUCUUUCGGGAUGUAAAGCUCUGUCCUGGGGGGACGAAGAAUGUGACGGUACCCCCAGAGAAAGCCCCGGCUAACUACGUGCCAGCAGCCGCGGUAAUACGUAGGGGGCGAGCGUUGUCCGAAUUUACUGGGCGUAAAGCGCGUGUAGGCGGUUCUUUAAGUCAGGUGUGAAAUCCUGUGGCUCAACCACAGAACUGCACUUGAAACUGAAGGGCUUGAGUGUGGGAGAGGAAAGUGGAAUUCCUGGUGUAGCGGUGAAAUGCGUAGAUAUCAGGAGGAACACCCGUGGCGAAGGCGGCUUUCUGGCCCACCACUGACGCUGAGGCGCGAAAGCCAGGGGAGCGAACGGGAUUAGAUACCCUGGUAGUC